rnacentral:rRNA from 1 species
GGGGGGCGGGGGGGGGGGGGGUGGGGGGGGGGGGUGGGGGGGGCGGGCGGGGAGCUGGCGGCGCUGGGGUUAGCGGCGGACGGGUGAGGGACGCGUGGGGGACCUACCUAUAAGGCUGGGAUAACGUCGGGAAGCCGGAGCUGAUAGCGGAGAAGAGAUUGAACCGCAUUGUUCAAUAGUAAAAGGCGGUUUUGCUGUCACUUGUAGAUGGCUCCGCGCCGCAUUAGCUAGUUGGUAAGGUAACGGCUUACCAAGGCAACGAUGCGUGGCCGACCUGCGAGGGUGAUCGCCCACCCUGGAACUGAGACACGGUCCAGACUCCUACGGGAGGCAGCAGUAGGGAAUCUUCCGCAAUGGGCGAAAGCCUGACGGAGCAACGCCGCGUGAGUGAUGAAGGUCUUCGGAUCGUAAACCUCUGUUAUUAGGGAAGAACAAAUGUGUAAGUAACUAUGCACGUCUUGACGGUACCUAAUCAGAAAGCCACGGCUAACUACGUG